CAGGAAGAGACUGCAUCAAAAAGUUGAACAAAGGUAGAGAGGAACUGGCAGACCUGAAACAACUUCAAAGUGUUGACUUGGAAUCUGUCGAGGCGGAUACAGACAUCCCAACCCCCUUCAUCCUCAAGAAACCACCAACCUGUUGAAUCCAUGUCUGAAUCUUCCAAUAAUUCACAAUGCAUGCUCAUCUGGAGGUGUCGGCUGUCCGCAGAUAGACCUCUCCCUCUCUGGGGGUAGUAUGAAACCAUCAGGUCAAGCGACACCUGGCCAGGGAACAGGGCCUCCCCUCACCAUCUCAGACACUGGACCAGGUCAGGAAGAAUGAGCUAUCCUUCCCUUGACCAAACAAGUAGUGGUGGUUUGCUGGUUGGAUUUUAUGUUUUCAUCUUUGAGUGCUCGUGCUAUUUUAUGGAUUUGGAAUGGACAAGAGCGCAUUUGAUCUCGAUGAAAGGAUAAGCUCAGGUCCAGGUCCGUGGCUGCCCU